rnacentral:rRNA from 1 species
GACGAACGCUGGCGGCGUGCUUAACACAUGCAAGUCGAACGAAGUGGCGAACGGGUGAGUAACGCGUAAUCAACCUGCCUAUGACAGUGGGAUAGCCUCGGGAAACCGGGAUUAAUACAGCAUAGUCAUAGAUGGGCUCGCGUCUGAUUAGCUAGUUGGUGAGAUAACAGCCCAACAAGGCGACGAUCAGUAGCCGGUCUGAGAGGAUGAACGGCCACAUUGGAACUGAGACACGGUCCAAACUCCUACGGGAGGCAGCAGUGGGGAAUAUUGCACAAUGGACGAAAGUCUGACGGAGCAACGCCGCGUGAGUGAUGACGGCCUUCGGGUUGUAAAGCUCUGUUAAUCGGGACGCGGUACCGGAAUAGAAAGCCACGGCUAACUACGUGCCAGCAGCCGCGGUAAUAC